GAGCGCGAAAGGCCUUCGGGCUGAGUAGAGCGGCGGACGGGUGAGUAACGCGUAGGAAUCUACCUGGUAGUGGGGGACAACAUGGUGAAAACCAUGCUAAUACCGCAUACGCCCUAUGGGGGAAAGCGGGGGACCUUCGGGCCUCGCGCUAUCAGAUGAGCCUGCGUAGGAUUAGCUUGUUGGUGAGGUAAAGGCUCACCAAGGCGACGAUCCUUAGCUGGUCUGAGAGGAUGAUCAGCCACACUGGAACUGAGACACGGUCCAGACUCCUACGGGAGGCAGCAGUGGGGAAUAUUGCGCAAUGGGCGAAAGCCUGACGCAGCCAUGCCGCGUGUGUGAAGAAGGCCUUCGGGUUGUAAAGCACUUUCAAUUGGGAAGAAAGGUUGCGUGUUAAUAGCACGCAGCUGUGACGUUACCUUUAGAAGAAGCACCGGCUAACUCCGUGCCAGCAGCCGCGGUAAUACGGAGGGUGCGAGCGUUAAUCGGAAUUACUGGGCGUAAAGCGCGCGUAGGCGGUUUGUUAAGUCGGAUGUGAAAUCCCCGGGCUCAACCUGGGAAUGGCAUUCGAUACUGGCCGACUAGAGUACGAGAGAGGGAGGUAGAAUU
rnacentral:rRNA from 1 species